rnacentral:rRNA from 1 species
GUCUGCGGCCAUGUCCCCCUGAACGUGCCCGAUCUCAUCUGGUCUCGGAAGCUAAGCAGGGUCGGGCCUGGUUAGUACUUGGAUGGGAGACCACUUAGGAAGACCAGGUGCUGUAGGUG